rnacentral:rRNA from 1 species
AACGCUGGCGGCGCGCUUAACACAUGCAAGUCGAGCGAGAACCAGGGCUUCGGCCCUGGGGACAGCGGCGAACGGGUGAGUAACACGUGGGUAAUCUGCCCUCGAUUCUGGGAUAGCCCGGGGAAACUCGGAUUAAUACCGGAUAGCCUCUCGAGCUCUCGGGCUCGCGAGAAAAGGUAGCUUCGGCCUCCGAUCGAGGAUGAGCCCGCGGCGGAUUAGCUUGUUGGCGGGGUAAUGGCCCACCAAGGCGACGAUCCGUAGCUGGUCUGAGAGGACGAUCAGCCACACUGGGACUGAGACACGGCCCAGACUCCUACGGGAGGCAGCAGUGGGGAAUCUUGCGCAAUGGGCGAAAGCCUGACGCAGCGACGCCGCGUGGGGGAAGAAGGCCUUCGGGUUGUAAACCUCUUUCAGGAGGGACGAAGCCACUCGGGUUAAUAGCCCAGAGGGUGACGGUACCUCCAGAAGAAGCCCCGGCUAACUACGUGCCAGCCGCCGCGGUAAUAC